rnacentral:rRNA from 1 species
AUACGGAGGAUCCGAGCGUUAUCCGGAUUUAUUAGGUUUAAAGGGUGCGCAGGCGGAACUGUAAGUCACCGGUGAAAUCCUACAGCUUAACUGUAGAACUGCCGGUGAUACUGCGAUUCUUGAGUAUAGUUGAGGUAGGCGGAAUGUGUAGUGUAGCGGUGAAAUGCAUAGAUAUUACACAGAACACCGAUUGCGAAGGCAGCUUACUAAACUAUUACUGACGCUCUUGCACGAAAGCGUGGGGAGCGAACAGGAUUAGAAACCCUAGUAGUCC